rnacentral:rRNA from 1 species
UACGAGGGGGGCUAGUGUUGUUCGGAAUCACUGGGCGUAAAGGGAGCGUAGGCGGGCGGUUAAGUUAGGUGUUUAAUCCCGGGGCCCAACCCCGGACCGGCACCUAAAACUGGACGUCUUGAAUAGUGGAGAGGUCGGUGGAAUUGGAGGUGUAGCGGUGGAAUGCGUAGAGAUCUCCAAGAACACCCGUUGCGAAGGCGGCCGACUGGACACAUAUUGACGCUGAGGCUCGAAAGCAUGGGGAGCAAACAGG